ensembl:lncRNA
CCGAUAUCGACCAGUCAUAUAUUAAAUGUCUUUAAAAUUUACCAGCACUUCUGGAUACACGGAAUUCAUUAGAUCAAAUGCAGAAAAACAGGAUGAAAUAGAUGUGGUUAUUUUAUUUUUGAAAUAUGGGUAGACAGAAUACUGGAUGAAGGUGGCUCUUGCUGUUUCGAGCUUGAUACUGGUGAUAGGAUAUGGCAAUGAGCUUUGGUGUCUGUACCUCAUCAAUUACCCAGAAUUCACGUCAUUCAGUGAGGCUCCCGUGGGGAAGGAGAGGGACCCAGAAAAAGCCUGAUCUUGGAAGAUCCUUUGCCUUCCAGAGAUGGAGACUUCUCCCCGGCAACACUGGGCAACCCAUCUACGUCGGAAUCCUGAGCUGGGGCUCGGCUGACUUGAGCAUCACUCCCACUCUUGCAUCCAAGACAACUUUCAUCUGCCAAGUACUGAUCCUUGGGAUUCCCUGCCAAGUUGUAAUUUCGCUACUGUAAUGAACCAUAGUCGGG